GACGAACGCUGGCGGCGUGCCUAAUACAUGCAAGUUGAGCGAUGAAGCUUGGUGCUUGCACCAAUUUGAAGAGCAGCGCACGGGUGAGUAACGCGUGGGGAAUCUGCCUUUGAGCGGGGGACCACAUUUGGAAACGAAUGCUAAUACCGCAUAAUAACUUUAAACAUAAGUUUUAUGUUUGAAAGAUGCAAUUGCAUCACUCAAACACGAUCCCGCGUUGUAUUAGCUAGUUGGUGAGGUAAAGGCUCACCAAGGCGAUGAUACAUAGCCGACCUGAGAGGGUGAUCGGCCACAUUGGGACUGAGACACGGCCCAAACUCCUACGGGAGGCAGCAGUAGGGAAUCUUCGGCAAUGGACGAGAGUCUGACCGAGCAACGCCGCGUGAGUGAAGAAGGUUUUCGGAUCGUAAAACUCUGUUGGUAGAGAAGAACGUUGGUGAGAGUGGAAAGCUCAUCAAGUGACGGUAACUACCCAGAAAGGGACGGCUAACUACGUG
rnacentral:rRNA from 1 species